GUAGGGGUAAUAUCCGUAGAUAUGCAGUAGAAUACCAAAAGCGAAGGCAGCUUGCUGGGCACAUACUGACGCUCAAGGACGAAAGCGUGGGGAGCAAACAGGAUUAGAUACCCUGGUAGUCCACGCCGUAAACUAUGAUAACUCGCUGUUGGAGGUUCGACCCCUCCGGUGGCUAAGUUAACGCAUUAAGUUAUCCGCCUGGGUAGUACGGUCGCAAGAUUAAAACUCAAAGGAAUAGACGGGGACCCACACAAGCGGUGGAGCAUCUUGUUUAAUUCGACAAUAAGCGGAGAACCUCACCAGGACUUGACAUCCCGAGAAGGUCGCAGAAAUGUGACUGUGCCUUUAGGAACUCGGUGACAGGUGCUGCAUGGUUGUCGUCAGCUCGUGCCUUGAGGUGUUCGGUUAAGUCCGUAAACGAGCGCAACCCAUGUCCAUAGUUGUAUGUUUCUAUGGAGACUGCCGGCUCUAAGUCGGAGGAAGGUAUGGAUGACGUCAAAUCAGCAUGGCCCUUAUGUCCUGGGCUACAAAGGUGCUACAAUGGCCGGUACAAAAGGCAGCCAAGGAGUAAUCUGGAGCAAAUCCUUAAGCCGGUCCAANGUUCGACUUGAGGNCUGAAUUCGCCCUCAUGAAGUUGAAUCGCUAGUAACCGUGAUCAGCAUGUCAC
rnacentral:rRNA from 1 species